CUUUAGCCCCGAUAGAAGUGAAAAUCCUUUUUAUUUUUUCUUUAAAAAUAAAAAGAUUGCAACGAAUAGCGGGUAGUAUG
rnacentral:sRNA from 1 species